ACCUUCGUGGUGUAAUGGUUAGCACACUCGGCGGGUAUUCGAAAGGUCCUAGGUUCGAGUCCAGGCGAGGGCA
rnacentral:tRNA from 1 species